rnacentral:rRNA from 1 species
AUUGAACGCUGGCGGCAGGCCUAACACAUGCAAGUCGAACGAGUGGCGGACGGGUGAGUAAUGUCUGGGAAACUGCCUGAUGGAGGGGGAUAACUACUGGAAACGGUAGCUAAUAACGCAUACCAUCGGAUGUGCCCAGAUGGGAUUAGCUAGUAGGGGGGGUAAAGGCUCACCUUGGCGACGAUCCCUAGCUGGGCUGAGAGGAUGACCAGCCACACGGGAACUGAGACACGGUCCAGACUCCUACGGGAGGCAGCAGUGGGGAAUAUUGCACAAUGGGCGAAAGCCUGAUGCAGCCAUGCCGCGUGUAUGAAGAAGGCCUUCGGGUUGUAAAGUACUUUCAGCGGGGAGGCGGUAUCCGCAGAAGAAGCACCGGCUAACUACGUGCCAGCCGCCGCGGUAAUUC